GAUGAACGCUGGCGGCGUGCUUAACACAUGCAAGUCGAACGGGAUCCAUCAGGCUUUGCUUGGUGGUGAGAGUGGCGAACGGGUGAGUAAUGCGUGACCGACCUGCCCCAUACACCGGAAUAGCUCCUGGAAACGGGUGGUAAUGCCGGAUGCUCCAGUUGAUCGCAUGGUCUUCUGGGAAAGCCUUCGCGGUAUGGGAUGGGGUCGCGUCCUAUCAGCUUGACGGCGGGGUAACGGCCCACCGUGGCUUCGACGGGUAGCCGGCCUGAGAGGGCGACCGGCCACAUUGGGACUGAGAUACGGCCCAGACUCCUACGGGAGGCAGCAGUGGGGAAUAUUGCACAAUGGGCGCAAGCCUGAUGCAGCGACGCCGCGUGAGGGAUGGAGGCCUUCGGGUUGUAAACCUCUUUUAUCGGGGAGCAAGCGAGAGUGAGUUUACCCGUUGAAUAAGCACCGG
rnacentral:rRNA from 1 species